CUCCUACGGGAGGCAGCAGUGGGGAAUUUUCCGCAAUGGGCGAAAGCCUGACGGAGUAACGCCGCGUGAGGGAUGAAGGCCUCUGGGCUGUAAACCUCUUUUCUCAAGGAAGAAGAUAUGACGGUACUUGAGGAAUAAGCCACGGCUAAUUCCGUGCCAGCAGCCGCGGUAAU
rnacentral:rRNA from 1 species